AGCAAAGAAUUUAUCAGGAGGAUUUGCUAAAUUUGGAGGGCUAGCCAAACUUCAUUUUGAAGAAAGACAUGUUGAAAAUUAUAAGGAUGAUAAAGAAGAAGAAGAUUUGAUUAAGGUUGAAUAUCACAUUUUCCCAAAAAACACAUUUUGUAGUGGAGCUACAUUUGUUCCAAAACUUGAUGGUGUUGAUGAAGAUGAUGGUUGGAUUGUGGCAUUCACACACAAUGAAAAUACAAAUCAAUCUCAAGUUUAUAUAGUUGAUGCAAAAAACUUUGAAAGUGAGCCAAUUGCCAUAAUCCUAUUACCUAAUAGAGUGCCAUAUGGAUUCCAUGGAGCUUUUAUGCCAUUCAACUUAUAGAUAGUGU